AACGAACGCUGGCGGCAUGCCUAACACAUGCAAGUCGAACGAGACCUUCGGGUCUAGUGGCGCACUGGUGCGUAACGCGUUGGAACCUGCCCUUAGGUUCGGAAUAACUCCCCGGAAGGGGUGCUAAUACCGGAUAAUGUCUUCGGACCAAAGAUUUAUCGCCUUUGGAUGGGCCCGCGUUGUAUUAGCUAGUUGUGAGGGUAAAAGCCUACCAAGGCGACGAUACAUAGCUGGUCUGAGAGGAUGAUCAGCCACACUGGGACUGAGAAACGGUCCAGACUAUUACGGGAGGCAGCAGUGGGGAAUAUUGGACAAUGGGCGAAAGCAUGAACCAGCAAUGCCGCGUGAGUGAUGAAGGUCUUAGGGUUGUAAAGCUCUUUUACCCGGGAUGAUAAUGACAGUACCGGGAGAAUAAGCGCCGGCUAACUCCGUG
rnacentral:rRNA from 1 species